CACGGGGACUUCCACCAGAACCGCAUCGGGAUCGUCGUUGGGCACCGUUACUUGGCCGAUUCCGCCGUCUAUGAAGGAGACAAGGAAGCGACGGUUGAGAUCGUCCCACUUGGCGCACUCGCGGAACCAGCUGGUGCUGUGGUAGUGGUAGACGUGGGUGGCGGGUUUGGCGACCUCGAGGGAGAUGAGGUAGGCGAUGGGGACGGCGGAGAGGAGGAGGAAGAGGAGGAGGAAUUUGGGGGAGCAGAGGGCGGAGCAGCAAGCCAUGUUUGAAUUCCUUGAAAGUGUUGACUGCUGCUGGGGUUUUUGGGUGAAGGAGUGAUGUCGCUUUGUGUUCC
rnacentral:lncRNA from 1 species